AUGUCUAAUGUACAAAUUGAUGAUGAUAUUUAUGAUGGAUAUAAUGAUUAUCCAUCAAUAUAUAGUAUCAAAGAUCUUGAACAAGAUGAAUUAAUUCAAGAGACACUGCAUACAAGUUAUGCAAAAAGACCAAUUUUUACACCAAAAGUACCAGGAAGUGCUAUGCGUUUGGGUACUUCAACUGGGUUUCACAGAAGUGGUACUGGUAUACCAGUGCGUCCUAAUACUAGUGGACUAAGGCCAAUGACUGCAGUCAGAGGAGCUGGUUAUACUAGUAGUAAUCGUCAACCAUUUGAUCCAUUGAAUAUGAAUAGUUCUACCAGAGGGCCUGCACCACCUUUAGAAAGUGGAAAGGAAGACACGCCUGAAGAAAAAAUAAAAGUGGCUGAAAGAAAAAUUAUGGAACUAAUAGAAAGUUCAGUACAAGCAUCAUAUGAAAACAAUACAAGAGUUGCUUUAGAGAGAGCCAAAGAAGCUUCUUCGAGGGAAAGAGCUCUUAUUAGACUACAAGAACAAGCUGGGCUUAGUGACAAUCAUAAUGUAGAUUUAACAUUUGCUGUCAUUUUUAAUUUGGCAACUCAAUAUACUAACAAUAAUAUGUUUACUGAAGCUAUAGCAACUUACCAAGCUAUAACAAGAAAUAGGAUGUUCAGCAAUAGUGCCAGAUUAAAAGUGAAUAUGGGAAAUAUAUAUGUCAAAAUGGGACAAUUGUCUCAAGCAAUUAAAAUGUACAGAAUGGCAUUUGAUCAAGCUCCAGCAGCUCAUAAAGAUUUAAGAAUAAAAAUAAUGCAUAACAUUGGAAUGUUAUUUGUACAAAUGGGUCGUUUGGAAGAAGCAGCUAAUAGUUUUGAAUGGGUCAUGAAAGAAAGAGCUGAAUUUAAAGCAGGCUUGCAUGCUGUUUUAUGCCAUUUUGCAUUAUCUCAUAGGGAUAAAAUGAAAAGGUCAUUUUUAGAGUUAUUAGAGGUUCAACUUAACAUAGAUCAGGAGGACAGAUAUAAUAUAAGUACAGAUGAUGCUGCUUUUAACAUAUUGAAUGAAAUUUUAAAAAAUGAUGAUUUGUCUAAGUUAGAGAAAGAGUUAAAAUUGGAAGCAGAGAAAACUAUUCUUUGUGCUGCAAAACUCAUUGCACCUGUAAUUGAAGAUACACUCACAGCUGGUUUUGCUUGGUGUGUGGAUACUAUAAAGUCUUCAACUUAUGGACCAUUAGCUGCCGAUUUGGAAAUAAGUAAAGCUAUGGUAUUUUUACAUAAUCGAGAAACGCAAUUGGCUAUUGAUACCUUAAAAAUGUUUGAAAAUCGUGAAAGUAAAGCUAAUAGUUCCGCUGCGACAAUGCUUUCAUUUAUUUACUUUCUUCAAGGAGAUUACGAACAAGCGGAAAGAUGCGGAGAAAUUGCUCGAAAUGCGGACAGUUACAAUGCAGCAGCUUAUGUUAAUUUAUCAGCUUGUGCAAUCAGAAAGGGUGAAUUAAAUAUUGCUAGAGAACUUCUCUUAUGCUCAUUAGAUACGGAUGCUAGUCACGUGCAAGCUCUUUAUAAUUUAGGGUUAGUAUAUAAAAAGCAAAAUAUGUACGAAGAAGCAUUGGAAUGUUUUUGGAAAGUUCGUAACAUUGCUAGACACGAUCCACAAACAGUAUAUCAAAUUGGUCAAUUAUAUCAACUUAUGAACGAUACAGACCAAGCAACAGAAUGGUACAAUCAAUUACUUGGUAUAAUACCAUGUGAUCCUGGAGUUUUGCAAAAAGUGGGUGAAAUGUAUGAUACUGGUGGAGAUAAACAACAAGCCUAUCAAUUUUAUAGCGAUUCUUAUAGAUUUUUUCCCGCCAAUUUUGAGGUAAUCGAUUGGCUUGGAUCAUAUUUCGUAUCGAUGCAACUUGCCGAGAAAGCGCUAGUUUAUUUUAAGAAAGCAGUAGAACUUGCUCCUGAUGAGCCAAGAUGGCGAUUACUUGUCGCUGCAUGUUUAAGACGAAUUGGUCAAUUUCACAAAGCUGUUUUGGAGUAUCAAGAUAUUCAUAAUAAGUUUCCUGAGAAUAUUGAAUGCUUGAAAUUUUUGGUUCGUUUAUGUAGUGAUCUCGGCUUAAAAGAAGCACAAUUAUAUGCAACAGAAUUAAAACGCGCCGAGAAAGCGAAAGAAUUGAAGGAUAGACAAGGAUCAGCAAGACCAGGCUCAAGAAGGAGUAAUAGCGGGACAUCAUCACGAACUGGUUCUGGAAUGAGCGUAUUAUCAGACCACAGGUCAAGUCCCACGUUUAAUAGAAGAGAAAAUCAAGGUUUAAGUAGCGCUGGUAUCACGCGACCUAAUCGAGUUUCUGCAACUGAAAAUAUUACGGACGUGGCAAACGAUGUCACUGAUCAAACAGGUACUCCUUAUGUUGAUCCCAUUGGCCCGUUACCUGUUCGUCCUAUGACGUCUGCCGGAAAAAGAGAUGAUGAUUUUGGUGAUGAAGAACUCGGCGAUGAUCUGUUACCGGAAUAAUAAAUAAAAGCUUUCAAACAUGGUCGUCCCUACGGAACAUGCUCUUAACGAGGCGAUACAAGUAGCGCCGUUGGUACUUUCGGACGAUGUAAAGAGACAUAAAACUUACACGAAUCAGAGGAAACUCGUAGUUCUGUCGUAAUCGAGCGGGUGCGAACGCUCGAUAAGGAUGUCAUUGAAAGAAACAAGACGAAGUUAUGAAAAUCAUGGAUUCAAACAUCCAUCAUACUUACUGCUUACGAAUGUUAUUUGAUCGCGCCCUGCUAUUUCAAGAAUUUGUCGAGCGAUACGUCAUCGGAUCGCUAAAAAACAUCCGUGCUCCGACGUUGUAUCUAUGUAUUUAUAUGUUUUUUUCCCAGUUAGUCUAUACGCUUCUUGCAUAAUUGAUCGAUAUCUGACCGAUCAAUGUCAACUAGAUUGAAUCAUUUCCGAUGUAAGAAAUGGCGAACACCGAGUCCUUAACCUUACGACAUUCUCGUUAAGAGUUUACUGGCACCGAUCGAUCCUGCACACAUACUUUCACUUUUGUUCCCGUCGAUCUCUGUAGCAAUGGCCACUAAGAGCAAUUUAUUCCGUCUGGUAUAUGCACUUUUCUUGAAUGUGUAUGAUUACUUACGUAACCGUUUGUCGUUUAUAUAGAAACCGUUUAAUUCGUGACAAUAUGCGUGCUGUGUCUUAACGAGAAUUCAAGGGAAUUUUUCUUCUGCGAAGCAAAUAUCUUGUAGCUCGGUAAUCAAGGAAUUCAGCGCAAAAUGUGCAAUUACCGAUAUACGACGUGAUUAAUAUUUUUCUAUAAGAUACUACAAUUAAGAUGGUUUAAACUGAGUUCGACCAGUUAUCAUUCGUUUAGCCUCAAACCAGUCGUAAGUCAUUUACUUAUCAUGAGUCGGGGCAUAGGGUUAUCAUAGGGAAUUUUUACUACAAAGAGUUCAAGAUUUUCAAAUAAGUUAUCGACGAAGAUACGUUGCUUCAUGCGAUGAUAAAACGGAUAGAACGAGAAUAAUUAAUAGUUCUAUUGAUCCGCUGUAACAAUCGGUUGGAAAUCAAAAAAUAACAAAGCUUUCAUGUUUCCUUUAAUUGAAUAGAAUUUCGUAACAAUCGACAAUGCAAACGUUCGUGUGGGCUCGUACGAUAAAUGUUUUCAUAGAGAAUGUUACGCAACUGGAAAUAAGUUACCCACACGCUCUUUUUGUAUUUGAUUAAAGUAGACCCAACAAUGUCAUGGUUAAUUUCUGUUUAUUCUUAUUUCUCUAUGACUUGAGUUUCUUCCUUGAUCUUUUUCGAAUCGAUAUAAAGCGGAUAAGCGUCACGAGAACAAGACAUGGUAAUAAUUUCAUCUACCGCUAUCACUGUAUAUCGCGUUGACAAUUCAAUCCAUGAAACAAGCAAUAAAUUUCUUUCCACUUAAA